UACGUAGGGACCAAGCGUUGUCCGGAAUCAUUGGGCGUAAAGAGCGUGUAGGCGGCUUGUUAAGUCUUGCGUGAAAUCUCGGGGCUCAACCCCGAGCGUUCGUGAGAAACUGGCAGGCUAGAGUGCGGGAGAGGAGAGUGGAAUUCCUGGUGUAGCGGUGAAAUGCGCAGAUAUCAGGAAGAACACCCGUGGCGAAGGCGGCUCUCUGGAACGCAACUGACGCUGAGACGCGAAAGCGUGGGGAGCAAACAGG
rnacentral:rRNA from 1 species